rnacentral:rRNA from 1 species
GACGAACGCUGGCGGCAGGCUUAACACAUGCAAGUCGAGCGCCCCGCAAGGGGAGCGGCAGACGGGUGAGUAACGCGUGGGAACGUGCCUUUUGGUUCGGAACAACUCAGGGAAACUUGAGCUAAUACCGGAUAAGCCCCGAGGGGGAAAGAUUUAUCGCCAAAAGAUCGGCCCGCGUCAGAUUAGGUAGUUGGAGGGGUAACGGCCCACCAAGCCGAUGAUCUGUAGCUGGUCUGAGAGGACGAUCAGCCACACUGGGACUGAGACACGGCCCAGACUCCUACGGGAGGCAGCAGUGGGGAAUAUUGGACAAUGGGCGCAAGCCUGAUCCAGCCAUGCCGCGUGGAUGAAGAAGGCCCUAGGGUUGUAAAGUCCUUUCGGCGGGGACGAUAAUGACGGUACCCGCAGAAGAAGCCCCGGCUAAUUUCGUGCCAGCAGCCGCGGUAAAAC